AGGAAGCGAACGAAGCUAGUGAACGCUGCGUCAUACUUUCCAACUUGCUUGCAAUUUGGACGCUGUGGCCAGCCCAGUUGGGCUUGACUGCGUCUGGUGAAAACUGGCAACGAAAAGACUCCAUUUUCAACCGCCAACCCUGCACCAGUCGCACUUGAGCUGAACGAAAUAGAUUUGUUUGCCCCGUCUAGAAACACGGACCAAGGAGUCUAACAUAUGUGCGAGUACUGGGGCAACACACCUCGGUGCGCAAUGAAAGUGUCAGAGGCUGGAAUGUCGUAACAAACAUUGCACAGUCCGCCGGCCUCCAUCCCUCGGGAAAAUGGUCUGAGUGUGAGCAUACAUGUUGGGACCCGAAAGAUGGUGAACUAUGCUUGAGUAGGGUGAAGCCAGGGGAAACUUUGGUGAAGGCUCGCAGCGAUUCUGACGUGCAAAUCGAUCGUCAAACUUGAGUAUAGGGGCGAAAGACUAAUCGAACUAUCUAGUAGCUGGUUCCCUCCGAAAUUUCCCUUAGGAUAGCUGCAAUCGAACAAGCCAKUUUUGUCA
rnacentral:rRNA from 1 species